rnacentral:rRNA from 1 species
UAUACAUGCAGUCGAGCGGACCGACGGGAGCUUGCUCCCUUAGGUCAGCGGCGGACGGGUGAGUAACACGUGGGUAACCUGCCUGUAAGACUGGGAUAACUCCGGGAAACCGGGGCUAAUACCGGAUGCUUGAUUGAACCGCAUGGUUCAAUCAUGAAAGGCGGCUUCGGCUGCCGUUUACAGAUGGACCCGCGGCGCAUUAGCUAGUUGGUGAGGUAACGGCUCACCAAGGCGACGAUGCGUAGCCGACCUGAGAGGGUGAUCGGCCACACUGGGACUGAGACACGGCCCAGACUCCUACGGGAGGCAGCAGUAGGGAAUCUUCCGCAAUGGACGAAAGUCUGACGGAGCAACGCCGCGUGAGUGAUGAAGGUUUUCGGAUCGUAAAGCUCUGUUGUUAGGGAAGAACAAGUACCGUUCGAAUAGGGCGGUACCUUGACGGUACCUAACCAGAAAGCCACGGCUAACUACGUGCCAGCAGCCGCGGUAAUACGUAGGUGGCAAGCGUUGUCCGGAAUUAUUGGGCGUAAAGCGCGCGCAGGCGGUUUCUUAAGUCUGAUGUGAAAGCCCCCGGCUCAACCGGG